GUGGGGAAUAUUGCGCAAUGGGCGAAAGCCUGACGCAGCGACGCCGCGUGAGGGAUGAAGGUUCUCGGAUCGUAAACCUCUGUCAGGGGGGAAGAAACCCCCUCGUGUGAAUAAUGCGAGGGCUUGACGGUACCCCCAAAGGAAGCACCGGCUAACUCCGUGCCAGCAGCCGCGGUAAUACGGAGGGUGCAAGCGUUAAUCGGAAUCACUGGGCGUAAAGCGCACGUAGGCGGCUUGGUAAGUCAGGGGUGAAAUCCCACAGCCCAACUGUGGAACUGCCUUUGAUACUGCCAGGCUUGAGUACCGGAGAGGGUGGCGGAAUUCCAGGUGUAGGAGUGAAAUCCGUAGAUAUCUGGAGGAACACCGGUGGCGAAGGCGGCCACCUGGACGGUAACUGACGCUGAGGUGCGAAAGCGUGGGUAGCAAACAGGAUUAGAAACCCCAGUAGUCC
rnacentral:rRNA from 1 species